rfam:Oryza glaberrima chromosome 6 Oglab06_0122_5, whole genome shotgun sequence.
AAAAAGACAAACCCUGGUUUCCGUGUCCAACGUUUGACCGUUCGUCUUAUUUGAAAAAAUUAUGAAAAAAAUUAAAAAUACAAGUCACACAUAAAAUAUUAAUCAUGUUUUAUCAUCUAACAACAAUGAAAAUACGAAUUAUAAAAAAAUUUCAUAUAAGACGGACAGUCAAAGUUGGACACGAAAACCCAGGGUUUGCCUUUUU